rnacentral:rRNA from 1 species
UAUUGGUCAAUGGGCGCUAGCCUGAACCAGCCAAGUAGCGUGAAGGAUGACUGCCCUAUGGGUUGUAAACUUCUUUUAUAUGGGAAUAAAGUGCAGUAUGUAUACUGCUUUGCAUGUACCUUAUGAAUAAGGAUCGGCUAACUCCGUGCCAGCAGCCGCGGUAAUACGGAGGAUGCGAGCGUUAUCCGGAUUUAUUGGGUUUAAAGGGUGCGCAGGCGGAAGAUCAAGUCAGCAGUAAAAUUGAGAGGCUCAACCUCUUCGAGCCGUUGAAACUGGUUUUCUUGAGUGAGCGAGAAGUAUGCGGAAUGCGUGGUGUAGCGGUGAAAUGCAUAGAUAUCACGCAGAACUCCGAUUGCGAAGGCAGCAUACCGGCGCUCAACUGACGCUCAUGCACGAAAGUGUGGGUAUCG